rnacentral:sRNA from 1 species
CUCAGCUCCCUGUGGUGGGGCAUGGCACAGGCUUCCCGCUCCCCACGGCUGGUUUGCACAGCCUCCCGACUGUGCCGUGGUGUCUCCUUCCCUAAAGUGGGACAGUCGUUUCUGUGUCCUGCGGGCCUCUGAGGACCAGAUGUGUGUGAGAGGCCUUCAGGGCCUGCUGGCUGGGGUGGUGGCGGUGCCUGGAGAAUGGGUUGGUGGCCGGAGGGGCCAGGUGGCUAACCACUCUGCUCUUCCGUGGCAGCGGAGCUGGAGUUCGCCCAAAUCAUCAUCAUCGUCGUGGUGGUCACGGUGAUGGUGGUGGUUAUCGUCUGCCUGCUGAACCACUACAAAGUCUCCACGCGGUCCUUCAUCAACCGCCCGAGCCAGAGCCGGAGGCGGGAGGACGGGCUGCCGCAGAUCAUGCAUGCCCCGCGGUCCAGGGACAGGUUCACAGCGCCGUCCUUCAUCCAGAGGGAUCGCUUCAGCCGCUUCCAGCCCACCUACCCCUAUGUGCAGCACGAGAUUGAUCUUCCUCCCACCAUCUCCCUGUCCGACGGUGAAGAGCCACCUCCUUACCAGGGGCCCUGCACCCUGCAGCUGCGGGACCCUGAACAGCAGAUGGAACUCAACCGAGAGUCCGUGAGGGCCCCGCCCAACCGAACCAUAUUUGACAGUGAUUUGAUAGACAUUGCUAUGUAUAGCGGGGGCCCAUGCCCACCCAGCAGCAACUCGGGCAUCAGUGCAAGCACCUGCAGCAGUAACGGGAGGAUGGAGGGGCCGCCCCCCACAUACAGCGAGGUGAUGGGCCACCACCCAGGUGCCUCUUUCCUCCAUCACCAGCGCAGCAACGCACACAGGGGCAGCAGACUGCAGUUUCAGCAGAACAAUGCAGAGAGCACAAUAGUACCCAUCAAAGGCAAAGAUAGGAAGCCUGGGAACCUGGUCUGAUUCCCUCCAACGUGCACUUCAGCUGGAGAAAGAAACCAAGGAGGGAAGCGGCCGCUGGGCCCCUCCUGCGCACAGUGUUGUUCAGUUUCACAUGGUACAAAUAAGUAAAACCAAAUGAGCAAACACGGUCUUUGUUUCUGAUUCCUUUUAGGGGAAUUGCAUGCAAACUAGACUGAAAUGAUACAAACUUCCAUCUGGUCUGACCGCAAACAGUGUUUAUUUGGGGACAGGGGUUGGGAUGGGGGUGUGGGCAGGGGAAAACAGAGAAAGGGAUGCUUUGAAGAUAUCAUGAAAUAAAACCCACAGAGGUAUUUGAUUUAUUUAAUUGUGAAAGGAGACUUUGCAGAUAAAUGAGGCCAGAAUGGCCUGUUUUAUAAUUAACCGAAUAAAGAAGGAAGCAUUAUUAUAUAUUAUUUUGGGGAAGAACCAGCCAGUUCGCUUUUUCUCCUAAGGUGUGGAACUUUUAUUUUGUUUUAAAAAUAUGAAUCAAAAUUCUUGUUUUGUGUGCCAAGGUAUAAAGUGGAGAAGUUAGAUGAGUGCAAGGAGCUCCUUUGUGUUGUGAUGAUGUGUUUUAAAAGUUGCACUAUCUUAAUGUUGAAAAUAUUUACGAGGGAACUGUUUUACGUGAAGUUCUGUAUGUUGUCUUUUCACCUGUGGAUUGUAAUCAGGCCCAAGGAAUAUCCUGGAGUGGUCCCCAGAAUCAUCCAAGAAAAGAUAUUUGGGGACGUAGCCUAACAUUUUACCAACUUAUGUAAAUCAAAAAAGUCAUUAUUGUUGCAGGAGUUUGCAUCAAAUAGCAGUGCAUCGCUGAAGCUUUUGGAGACUUUUGGAUGGAAGAUAGGGAAGAUUAAGUUCCAGCAUUUCUGACUUGUUAUUUUGAGUUACUCUGCUAAUCUUAGGCUGCAUAGUUUAUGAGAAAAUGAACACAUGCAUUUAUGGAUCCAGUAUCAUGCAGUGCUGCCCUCAUCCUCCAGCAGUGCAAUUUCUUCAGUAAUUUAGAUUUUUUUCACUAUAGCAUGAAAUAUAUUCAAAUACAUACCUUAUUUUAUGCAAUAAAUUGUUUAAAAUGCGAGGUGGUUAUUCUGCAUACUGUUGAAAUAUGUGACUCCUCAGUAUAUUCCCAUUGCCUCUCCCCUUUCCUCGACAGCUUAGUUCAGUUCUGCAGGGCUGCUCAGUUCACAGGAGGCUCCCAGCAGCCACCCCACAUCCAGCCUACCCAGAACUUCGUGUGGAAGUGGUGUGGGUGGUGGUUUCUUAUGCUUUGGAAGCCCCUAGAAAUGACGGAAGAAUGCCAUGUUGCUGAUCGUGGUAAUAAGCCAUUGUGGGUUAUUGUAUGUCACUAGUAUUAGCAUAGCAUUCUUAAAGGAAUGCAGUGCUCAAAACCUACCCACAUUCCCGCAGGAUUCUACCAAACCCUUCCCCAGGCCAGCCUUUGUACUGAAGGCAAGAACUGGACAGUCAGAGAACAGUGGAAGGGGCAAGUGACUGAAGAGCACCGGGUAAAAAGCACAACAUGCAGUUAAAAUGCAACUAGAAAACUAAUUUUAAAUAUUGUUAGUUUUAAUAUUCCUGAUAUUUACAAAUAUUCAUUCUUAUAUACAAUGAAAAAAAUAACUUUCUUCUGCAGAUGUAAGCACUGGCUUUUAGAAGAGCAGCAGCCAACACGUUUAGCAGACACUGCACGUGGAGAAGGGCUUAUCUGCAGUACAGUCUGCCAUGUGGAUGGUGGGCCUCUGUGGCCUCUUCACGUAACAAGAUGAGUUGGAAUGGUGAUUCCAUGACUCCCAUCUAUGCAGCUUUAAAGCCAAAUCCGCGUGUGUGUGUUUGUGUCUGUCUGUGGGUCUCGAAGGUGAUCCGUUGGUGCGGUGGCUCUGUGCUGUAACUGGAGAGACUGUUCCAAACCCCAAGAGUUGUCUGAUCCUAGUCUGUUCCCUUCUGCUUCUUACCUCUGUAGAUAGGUCACUGGUUUUUGUUUGUUUGUUUUGAGGAUUGGAAUUUCCAUUACAUUCAUCCUUUGCACACAGUAACAUCCACAGAACUAGCCUAACUCUUAAAAGGAGAGAGGAAAAACACGGGCACCAGUUGUCAGCUCAUGCUUACAACCGUGUGUGGAAGUAUAUACAGUUGAGAGUCACAGUGGAGGUUCUGAGACUGGAUUCAGUCUUGUUCCAGUGACACUUGGAAGGCCUCUGCUGGAGAGAAACCAGCUCUCAGGGCAGAGAUUGGCUUGGGGCCAGAAGGACCCUCCCCAACCCUGGAGACGCCCUGAAGGUUCACUGGCUCUCCAGAUUAGCCUCUCUUCCUCUGUCAGGCAAAGAUGAGGAGCCGGUGUUCCCAUCGGGCCCUGCUGGCAGGGACUUGCAGUGGAUUCUUGGUCAGGUGUGCCCACAGAUGCGGAGGCGAGGUGAGUGAUUCCAUCAUUUCAGUUCUCACCUGCAGUUUUGGUGAAGCAGGAGAUGCACCCCACAGCUCUAGCUCUCAAAUGGCUUCACAGUCCUUACUUCUCUACCUGCCUCAAGAAGGGGCUCAGAGCAGAGACUUGUGAAUUCCUUAGUAACUGCGAGUAUAUGAAUGUUUUGAACAUGUCCACAGUAUUGGCGAGAUAAUUAGGUAAUUCGGAUACCUUUAAUCAUCUUUCAAGAAAGGCUCCUCCCAUUCAACCACCCUAGAGAAUUGCCUUUGUUAAAUAGUUAUUUAAAGACACAUACAUAUCAAACCAUGACUUUGAAAGGUCUUCGAGGCUGGGACUCUGUAAUGAAUUAGUUUAAAAGCCAAGGUCAUAACAUGAAUUGAUAGUCAAUUUCCCUUCAGCACAAGGAAAAGGUGGUUUAGAUCAGUAGCUCUUUUGAAGGUUGUGGCUGACCUGUUCGUACCGUGUCGCCUCAUGGCUAGCGUGGCGUUGAAAGAGUAGCGAUUGGGAAGAUGAAGCUUACACAGUGGGGCCUAUUGUUCUUUCAAGAACCCUUUUUUUAGCUUAUAGAACCCAUGGGUCCAGUUUAGUAACCAGUGAUUUGGGCAAUCAGUGAUAGGUUUAUAAUCUUAGAUUAUUCCAGCAAAGUGUGGAUUGCAUUGUUAGGAAGAACAUUUGGUGGGAAUGAAUGAACACUCUUGGGCAUACCGCUGACUUUUGUCCCUUGUUCCAGGUGUAGGAGACCCAAGGCAUCUUGAAUCCCAUCUAUAAGAACACAAUCUUCCAGCAUUUGCUUUUUCAGAAACUCUAGCAUUCUUUUUAAAUACUGAUGCAAUCCUUAAUGGAAAAGAGAUUUCAUGAAGCAAAUUAUGUAUUUCAAUAGUUGAUCUAUUUUCAGUGUCCAAAAUUUACUAAUACAGAAGCUUGACAAGCAUAUCCUCACCCUCCCCACCACAUAAACGCAUGGACACACACCCAAGCCACAAGAAAUCCCAAGAGAGCAGAAGAGAAUUUUUAAAAGAUUUAUCGUGAGGACUGCAUUUCCAUUCACUAAUUUUGGCUCAAACUGAGGCAGGGAAUAGGGGCCAACAGUAAAUGGGGGAGGCCUCGUGACACCAGCAGAGGAAUUUUGUACCCAGGCGAGGACUUCUUGAACUUCCACGUAUCUCCAUUUGAUCUCUUUCACAUUUAUUUCAUCUUCAUAAGAAUGAGAAAGGCUCAAAAGGAAGCAGUUUUAGAAAGCUUCUCUGACCUAGAAGAAUCCAUCCAAAUCCCUGCCUUCCUCUCUGAACCAACAGUUCCUAUCUCUGACUGGGGCCAUCCUCUAUCUUCCAUCCAGCGGCUCUUCUUUUUAGGAAGGCGCUGGUGCAGAGCAUUUCAAAUAUGUCCUUAGGCCAGAUACUGGUUGCUAGUACAGAGUCACACAGCACCCAGUCCCAAGCCCUCCCUCAAAGGACCGGCUCAUGGCGUUGGUCACUGGCAGGCUCAGAGACAUGCUGCUGUGGGCGCAGGGAGCCCGGCCCCCCACGCAGCCAUGACUGGAUGCGCCCCCAUCUCAGGGGCUUGCUGCACUGCUCGUUGAUUGAAUUUUGCUACUUAGAAUGGCAGCAUUAACUUUGUGUACCAUUCAUUUUUUUAAAAAUUUCCAAAGCUCAGCAGUGUAUGAAAGAAAAAAUUGGGAAAGAUACUUGGUUUCUGUUAACUUUUGCGUUGCUUGCUUAAGUGAUUAAAGCCAGUGCUUGGAGCCAAGGCUUCAUGCCACGAACAUGCCCCACAGCCUGCCCUUUGCUCUCCUGCUCACACUGACUGAGAAUGCCGCGUGCUUGGCCUACUGAGGUGAAAGAACAAUUGAAUGACGGGUGGGCAAAGGGAGAACUUCCCCUUCUUGGUGUGAGGAAAGUCACAAAUUAAAAAAUGUUGCUUCCGGCCCAGAUCCUAAAUGCUAGUUCUCAGCAGCUACGUGGCUUACCAUUCACCAUUUCCACCACUGCCAGCUGCCAGCACCUCCACAGAUCACAGAGAUGUGAACAGACAAUGGAAAGCACUCUUAGCCUUGCAGUGGUCUAUAUUUUUUAGGAACCAAGAUUUCAGCAUUCUUUAUUACCCAGCACGCUGUGUCCUUUGCAGAGUUCAAGUUUAUGUUACUGCCAGGGUCAGACAGUCAUUUGCUGCUGCUGCUGCUGCUGCUGCUUCCUGAACUGGAUGCAUUAGGAAGCUGCUGUCUGAGUGUAGGAAUGUCUUGCUAAGAAAGCAAUGUCUUCCUUCAAUCCUUUUCUUUCUCCCCUCCGCGUGUCCUUGUUUUUGUGUAAUGCGGGAGAGGGUUAGAGCUAUAGAGAUUAUAUAUACACUAUCCGUGCACAUUAUAUAUAUGUAGAUAUACCCCUAUCAUGUCAGAGAUCUGCAUGUCAGUUUUUCAGCAACUAAGGUGCCUCAUGUUCUGAGUUCAGCAGAUAUAGGAACCAAGCCGCCCCCUCCUGCACUUGAUGCUCCCACCUUUGUUGUGCCUCACUUAAAAUGGUGCUUUUUUCAGUUGUCUGUCUUUUCUUAUGUUUUUAUUUGUAAGGUGCUGUAUAUAAGUUGAAUAUAUUAUGCACAUAUCCUACCCAAUGGGUAGAACAAAAAGUUGUUAAUACUGUAAUAUAAUGUAUAGAUGAUACCAAUUUUAACAGAAAUGGCAUAGAAUUUGUGAAUGCCUAUGUGCUUUGUCCUCUUUUGUAAGGAAAUUUGCAAAUGGAUGCAUACAGAUUAAAGUCUAUGUAGUUUAUUUUCCUAUUAAAUAUCAAGAUUAUAACACAAGAGAAAGAAGUGUGAACAAACAAGCAACAGUUUAUGACCAGCGUAUAUAUAUAGCAAUGGAAAGUUGCAUCUUUGCUGUGAAAACACUUUAAAGAAAAUACUUUUUAAAAAAUCCCACAGCUUUUUGGUUGCCACUAGACGCUUCUUAUUUUAAUCAUUUUAGUAAAGCUCAGCUGGACCAGUGUUAGUUACAUUUGAGUCAGAAAAAUGUUGUUUUUCAACUUGCUUUAUAAUCUCCUGCAUCUAUCUAUCUCCUGCUGUAGCAUCACGAAGGUGUCAGGCCUCAGUGAAAAGGGCACAUUUUUGUUGUUAAUAUUGCAGAAACUGUGUCAGAGGAAUAAGUAAAUCAGCCUGCAGCAGAGGACUUUGUUCAGCUCCAGAGGCAUCUGUGACCGUCUGUGUCCAAGUCUCUCUGUGCCUUUUUCUUUUACAAACUGAAGCUGUGGAGCCAAUGAAGUAACAGUAGAGAUUGUAGGGAAAGAAUACCUCAGGAAAAACAAAUCCACUUACAAGAAGACCCUGUUCUUAGAAAAAGUGUUUAGUUAUGGGUUAGCACUAGAAGAGACUUGGCUGUCAGCCAGCCAAGUGAAGGACCUCUCAUCCAUUCCCAUUCAUGUCCCAUCAUAAUCCUGACCCAAAAAGCAAACUCGGUUUUGCCAUCAGUUAGAAAUUACGUUUUGAAUUGUAUAUUGUUACAUCUCUCUUCCAGCUUAGUUUUUAGUGUCUGAUUGUGACCUCUGCAUUUAUCUUCAAAUACCCUAAUUUUAAAACAAAAGAACAAGAAAAGUUUAUAACAACACCGUGUUCAUUAAAACCAUGGUUGAAUCUUGGGUGUGGGCAUCCUUUCGAGUGCUGUCCAUAAGAGCAGUUCGUGGAAUUUUGCCCAUCUGACCCAUAUUAUCAGCUUAUUCUGCCACCAGAGACUCUAAUAAAUUCCAAAGUUUUUAUUUGCUCCAUGGUGUAUGUUCUGACUUUGAAAAUGUCAGAUUCUAUAAUCAUACCCCUAACAUCCAGGAAACAAAUGACCGACUAUCCUUAAACUGAAAUUGACUCUACAAUGCAACUCUUAAUGCUGAAUGGAUUAAAAGUCAGCCCUUUUAGUAUCUGUUUGAAAGGGCUGUGAAAAGUUGACACUCUUGUUGUUGUGGAUCCUGCGUGUCUAGACCCAUGUGUUGGUUCCAUCAUAUACUGUAGGGUGCACCCCUUGGGAUUCAGCAUUAAGAACUGAGGCUCAUUGUUGUCAGAAACAAAGCUCCCACCCCCCAGGUUCAACCUUGUGGGAGAACCGUUGAGCAUGAGAAUGUUCUAGACUCAGAGGUACUAAAAUUUGUUACCACAUCAUUGCUUCCUUUCUACAGGACGAAUUGAGGCUUAAACUUUACUGUUAAUGAUACUGGUUCAUUUUAAUGUGCUUGUUGGUAUGUUGCUAUUUUUCAUUUCAUAGCUUUCAAAAAUCAUGCUAAUUGUAUACUUGUCUAGUUUAAGGCUAUUUUAAAAUAUGUACAAUACUAUUCACAGCAUUUAGUUCAUUUAAUUUUUAUUAUAAAGCAAUCUACUAAAAAAGUACAACUGUAUUUGAACUUUUCAAUAGUUGGUUGUGAGCUAUGAUAAUCAAAAGUCAUUAAAGUCUUUUUUAACAAACAUUUGUGCUUACUUUUCAACAUAAUUCCCAGUUAUAUACAGAAAAAGAUUUCCACCUGUCACGUAUCUGCCUCUUUUACCUGAGCAAUGGUGAUGUAGUUCUUAGACCUAAGGUCUGUAAUUGCAAUACUUUUAAAGAAAGAUGUUGCUCUAAGUGCUGUUUGUUAGUUAUGAAAUCAGAUUUUUCUGCUUGUUCUUAAUGCUGUGGUCAAACCAUAGCACAAAAUCAUUAAAAAUAAUCAGCGGCAUAC